GGCCGCCUGGCGAAAUGGCAUCGCGUCUGACUACGACCAAGCAUCAACUGCUUACGUAAAAUCAGGAGAUUGCAGGUUCGACCCCUGCGGUGGUCA